rnacentral:rRNA from 1 species
UGGGGGAUAUUGCACAAUGGGCGAAAGCCUGAUGCAGCGACGCCGCGUGGGGGAUGAAGGCCUUCGGGUUGUAAACUUCUUUUGCUCUGAACAAGGCAUGCCUUUGGGGUGUGUUGAGUGUAGGGGUUGAUUAGCGCCGGCUAACUACGUGCCAGCAGCCGCGGUAAUACGUAGGGCGCGAGCGUUGUUCGGAAUUAUUGGGCGUAAAGGGCUUGUAGGUGGCUGGUUGCGUCUGUCGUGAAAGCUCAUGGCUUAACUGUGGGUUUGCGGUGGGUACGGGCUGGCUUGAGUGCAGUAGGGGAGGGUGGAAGUCCUAGUGUAGCGGUGGAAUGCGCAGAUAUCAGGGGGAAUACCGGUAGCGAAGGCGGGUCUCUGGGCUGUUACUGACGCUGAGGAGCUAAAGCGUGGGGAGCGAACAGG